rnacentral:rRNA from 1 species
AGUGGCGAACGGGUGAGUAACGCGUGAGGAACCUGCCUCAAAGAGGGGGACAACAGUUGGAAACGACUGCUAAUACCGCAUAAGCCCACGACCCGGCAUCGGGUAGGGGGAAAAGGAGCAAUCCGCUUUGAGAUGGCCUCGCGUCCGAUUAGCUAGUUGGUGAGGUAACGGCCCACCAAGGCGACGAUCGGUAGCCGGACUGAGAGGUUGAACGGCCACAUUGGGACUGAGACACGGCCCAGACUCCUACGGGAGGCAGCAGUGGGGAAUAUUGCACAAUGGGGGAAACCCUGAUGCAGCGACGCCGCGUGGAGGAAGAAGGUCUUCGGAUUGUAAACUCCUGUUGUUGAGGAAGAUAAUGACGGUACUCAACAAGGAAGUGACGGCUAACUACGUGCCAGCAGCCGCGGUAAAACGUAGGUCACGAGCGUUGUCCGGAAUUACUGGGUGUAAAGGGAGCGCAGGCGGGAAGACAAGUUGGAAGUGAAAUCCAUGGGCUCAACCCACGAACUGCUUUCAAAACUGUUUUUCUUGAGUAGUGCAGAGGUAGGCGGAAUUCCCGGUGUAGCGGUGGAAUGCGUAGAUAUCGGGAGGAACACCAGUGGCGAAGGCGGCCUACUGGGCACCAACUGACGCUGAGGCUCGAAAGUGUGG